rnacentral:rRNA from 1 species
UACGAAGGGGCUAGCGUUGCUCGGAAUCACUGGGCGUAAAGCGCACGUAGGCGGACUUUUAAGUCAGGGGUGAAAUCCUGGAGCUCAACUCCAGAACUGCCUUUGAUACUGAGGAUCUUGAGUUCGGGAGAGGUGAGUGGAACUGCGAGUGUAGAGGUGAAAUUCGUAGAUAUUCGCAAGAACACCAGUGGCGAAGGCGGCUCACUGGCCCGAUACUGACGCUGAGGCACGAAAAGCGUGGGGAGCAAACAGGG